UAGGGAAUCUUCCGCAAUGGACGCAAGUCUGACGGAGCAACGCCGCGUGAGUGAAGAAGGAUUUCGGUUCGUAAAACUCUGUUGUUAGAGAAGAACAGCGCAUAGAGUAACUGUUAUGCGUGUGACGGUAUCUAACCAGAAAGCCACGGCUAACUACGUGCCAGCAGCCGCGGUAAUACGUAGGUGGCAAGCGUUGUCCGGAUUUAUUGGGCGUAAAGCGAGCGCAGGCGGUCAAUUAAGUCUGAUGUGAAAGCCCCCGGCUCAACCGGGGAGGGUCAUUGGAAACUGGUUGACUUGAGUGCAGAAGCGGAGAGUGGAAUUCCAUGUGUAGCGGUGAAAUGCGUAGAUAUAUGGAGGAACACCAGUGGCGAAGGCGACUCUCUGGUCUGUAACUGACGCUGAGGCUCGAAAGCGUGGGUAGCAAACAGG
rnacentral:rRNA from 1 species